rnacentral:rRNA from 1 species
AUUGAACGCUGGCGGCAUGCCUUACACAUGCAAGUCGAACGGCAGCGGGCCUUCGGGUGCCGGCGAGUGGCGAACGGGUGAGUAAUGCAUCGGAACGUGCCAUUGAGUGGGGGAUAACGUAGCGAAAGUUGCGCUAAUACCGCAUAUUCUGUGAGCAGGAAAGCAGGGGACCGCAAGGCCUUGCGCUCUUUGAGCGGCCGAUGUCAGAUUAGCUAGUUGGUGAGGUAAAGGCUUACCAAGGCGACGAUCUGUAGCGGGUCUGAGAGGAUGAUCCGCCACACUGGAACUGAGACACGGUCCAGACUCCUACGGGAGGCAGCAGUGGGGAAUUUCGGACAAUGGGGGCAACCCUGAUCCAGCCAUGCCGCGUGAGUGAAGAAGGCCUCGG